rnacentral:rRNA from 1 species
CAGUGGCUACGAGGACGACGCUGGCGGCGUGCUUAACACAUGCAAGUCGAACGGUGACGGGAGAGCUUGCUCUCCUGAUCAGUGGCGAACGGGUGAGUAACACGUGGGCAACCUGCCCCAGACUUCGGGAUAACGCUUCGAAAGAGGUGCUAAUACCGAAUACGAACCUCCCUGGCAUCUGGGAGGUUGGAAAGUUUUCGGUCUGGGAUGGGCCCGCGGCCUAUCAGCUUGUUGGUGAGGUAACGGCUCACCAAGGCGACGACGGGUAGCCGGCCUGAGAGGGCGACCGGCCACACUGGGACUGAGACACGGCCCAGACUCCUACGGGAGGCAGCAGUGGGGAAUAUUGCGCAAUGGGCGAAAGCCUGACGCAGCAACGCCGCGUGAGGGAUGACGGCCUUCGGGUUGUAAACCUCUUUCAGCAGGGAAGAAGCGAAAGUGACGGUACCUGCAGAAGAAGCACCGGCUAACUACGUG